rnacentral:lncRNA from 1 species
CCCCGCCCCGCCCCGCCCCGCCCCGCCCCGCGUCACGUGCUCUAGUCCCCUCCGCACCCACAACUUGGAGACGCUCUUCCCACGCCUGCUUCGCGAGGCUGGAUGCCCAUCGCCUCGGGGUCACGGCGUCGUCAUCUGUUUGCCAAGGAAAAUACCCUAGUCUUGACUUUGUAGCUUUAGAGACCCCUCUGGGUUGCUUGGGAACAUGAGUGGACGCGCCCGUGUGAGGGCACGAGGCAUGGCCCGCAGCCCUGACUCCCUGUCGGUGCAGUGCACCCAGACCUCGCCCUCGGGAAUGGUAACAAAGGUGUAUCUUCUGGUGAUGUUGGGAGUACCUUUGUAGAAAAAAGUGUGAAAAUAAGACAGGACUGUAUGGACUUGGGUGUCUGUACCAGGGAGAAAUGGGCACAUGUGAGAGACAGCAAAACAGGUUCCAGUGGAAUACCUGUGAAACUGGCUACAAAUCUCUUUAAUUUAGACUUGCCCCAGGACUGGCAGCUAUAUCAGUACCAUGUGACGUAUAUUCCAGAUUUAGCAUCUAGAAGGCUGAGGAUUGCUUUGCUUUAUAAUCAUAGCAAACUUUCUAACCAUGCAAAAGCAUUCGAUGGUACCAUCCUUUUUCUCUCACAAAAGCUAGAAGAAAAGGUCAUAGAAUUAUCAACUGAAACUCAAAGAGGUGAGACUGUAAAGAUGACUGUUACUCUAACGAGGGAGCUGCCCUCAAGCUCCCCCAUGUGCAUUCAGGUCUUCAAUAUCAUCUUCAAAAAGUAAGGCAUUUUAAAUAGGAAUUUAAUUUGAGCUAAUGGUGCCUUUUAGGAUAGAACCUGGGUUUUAAAAUGAUCAACCAUUUUGUAGGCAGUGUGCCAGCAACAGUGCCAUUUAGGACAAUUUUUC